ACGAAGUCUGGUCCCUAUGACAGCUAGGAUGUUGGCUUGGAAGCAGCCAUUCAUUUAAAGAGUGCGUAACAGCUCACUAGUCGAGGAGUCGGGCGUGGAUAAUAAUCGGGUAUCAAGUUGUCUACCGAAGCAGUGGGAUCAUUUAUAUGAUCGGUAGGGGAGCAUUCCAGUCAGCGUCGAAGGCGUACCGUGAGGUAUUCUGGAGCGUCUGGAAAAGCAAAUGUAGGUAUAAGUAACGAUAAAGGGGGCGGGAAACCCCCUCGCCGAAAGACUAAGGUUUCCUGAUCAACGCUAAUCGGAUCAGGGUCAGUCGGGUCCUAAGGCUCAGCCGAACGGCGAUGCCGAUGGCAGAAACGGUUAAUAUUCCGUUACUACCUUCAGGAGUGACGUGGAGACGCAGUAGUGACAGUGCCGCCAUCUGACGGAAUAGAUGGUUGAAGGGUGUAGGAGUCGAUCAUGGCAGGCAAAUCCACCAUGAGAUCCGAACCUGACAGUAUGCCGCGUCCUUCGGGACAAGGCAAUAGUGCGCGUAAGCAUGCUGCCGAGAAAAUCCGCUAAACUUAAUCCUGGAGGUACCCGUACCGCAAACGGACACACGUAGUCGGGUUGAAUAUACUAAGGCGCUUGAGUGAUUCACGGUUAAGGAACUAGGCAAACUGACCCUGUAACUUCGGGAUAAAGGGUCCCUACCCUUUUAUGGGAGGGCGCAGAGAAUCGGUCCAGGCAACUGUUUAACAAAAACACAGGGCUGUGCCAAAUCGAAAGAUCCAGUAUACAGCCUGACACCUGCCCGGUGCUGGAAGGUUAAGAGGAGAUGUCAUCGAUGAGAGAAGCGUUGAAUUGAAGCCCCAGUAAACGGCGGCCGUAACUAUAACGGUCCUAAGGUAGCGAAAUUCCUUGUCGGGUAAGUUCCGACCCGCACGAAAGGCGUAAUGAUUUGAGCGCUGUCUCGACAAUGCACCCGGUGAAAUUGAAAUACCAGUGAAGAUGCUGGUUACCUGCGCCAGGACGGAAAGACCCCAUGGAGCUUUACUCCAGCUUGAUACUGGGAUUCGGUACUGCAUGUACAGGAUAGGUGGGAGACGAAGAGGACAGGACGCCAGUCUUGUCGGAGUCGCUGUUGGGAUACCACCCUUGUGGUACUGGAUUUCUAACCAACCUCCGUGACCCGGAGGUGGGACAAUGUCAGGUGGGGAGUUUGACUGGGGCGGUCGCCUCCGAAAGGGUAUCGGAGGCGCUCAAAGGUUCCCUCAGAAUGGUUGGAAACCAUUCGAAGAGUGCAAAGGCAGAAGGGAGCUUGACUGCGAGACCGACGGGUCGAGCAGGUAGGAAACUAGGACUUAGUGAUCCGGUGGUAUAAAGUGGGAUUGCCAUCGCUCAACGGAUAAAAGCUACCCUGGGGAUAACAGGCUUAUCACUCCCAAGAGUUCACAUCGACGGAGUGGUUUGGCACCUCGAUGUCGGCUCAUCGCAUCCUGGGGCUGAAGUAGGUCCCAAGGGUUGGGCUGUUCGCCCAUUAAAGCGGUACGCGAGCUGGGUUCAGAACGUCGUGAGACAGUUCGGUCCCUAUCCGGCGCGGGCGCAGGAUAUCUGAGAGGAGCUGUCCUUAGUACGAGAGGACCGGGAUGGACAGACCGCUGGUGUACCUGUUGG
rnacentral:rRNA from 1 species